rnacentral:rRNA from 1 species
GAUGAACGCUGGCGGCGCGCCUAACACAUGCAAGUCGAACGAAGCUCCCAAACUUGAGUUUUCGGACAAGAGUGAGGGAAGACUUAGUGGCGGACGGGUGAGUAAUGCGUGAGCAACCUGCCCUUCGGAGGGGGACAACAGUUGGAAACGACUGCUAAUACCGCAUAAUGUAUCGAGAAGGCAUCUUCAUGAUACCAAAGAUUUAUCGCCGAGGGAUGGGCUCACGUCUGAUUAGCUAGUUGGUAAGGUAAUGGCUUACCAAGGCUUCGAUCAGUAGCCGGACUGAGAGGUUGACCGGCCACAUUGGGACUGAGACACGGCCCAGACUCCUACGGGAGGCAGCAGUGGGGGAUAUUGCGCAAUGGGGGCAACCCUGACGCAGCAACGCCGCGUGAAGGAUGAAGGUUUUCGGAUUGUAAACUUCUUUUAUCAGGGACGAAGCUUGACGGUACCUGAUGAAUAAGCUCCGGCUAACUACGUGCCAGCCGCCGCCGUAAGAC